rnacentral:lncRNA from 1 species
ACCCCACCAACACAAAUUACAAAUAUCAAAAAUCAUAUUUAUGAUAAUCUUACCCCAUAAAUCAUAUAUAAUUCACAAAAUUUUGAAACUUCAAUCCAUUCUUUAUAAUUAAUAUAAAUUGCUUCGUGAUAUAUCAAUUUCCACCAUAGCAAGGAUAGCACCAAAAUCAAUAAUCUAACUUAUUUAAAACAAAAGUGAAGAAAAAAUUAUUCAUACC